rnacentral:rRNA from 1 species
GACGUAGGGCGCGAGCGUUUGUCCGGAUUUAUUGGGCGUAAAGAGCUCGUAGGCGGCUUGUCGCGUCGGACUGUGAAAACCCGUGGCUCAACCAUGUGGUCUGCAGUCGAUACGGGCAGGCUAGAAUUCGGUAGGGGAGACUGGAAAUUCCUGGUGUAGCGGUGAAAUGCGCAGAUAUCAGGAGGAACACCGGUGGCGAAGGCGGGUCUCUGGGCCGAUACUGACGCUGAGGAGCGAAAGCGUGGGGGAGCGAACAGG